rnacentral:misc_RNA from 1 species
GAAGUGCGAUAAGCAAUGCGAAUUGCAGAACCGUGAGUCAUCAGAUUUUUGAACGCAACUGGCGCCGGUUGGCUCUCCAACCGGCAUGCUUGUUUCAGUGUCUCUUUAUCUCAUCACCCAUAUCAUAAUGCGAGAGAUACCCUUCUCUUGCUAAGCUCGAAAGCACUCUGCGCUCUGCGAGCGGCUUCGACUUGUUCGAGGGUCGCACUCAAUGCAGCCGUCACAUUGCUCACAAUGUGAACUCAUUGAGAGCUGAGGCAGUGUAGCGUAAGCUACCAGUGCUUAGUCACACAAACUUUACUUGCAUCUGAAAUCAAGCAGGAUCACCCGCUGAACUUAAGC